UCCGUUGAUCCUACGAAAGGUUGCUGCUAUUGGGAUUCGAUUAAGCCAUGCAAGUUUGCCCAGCAAUGGGCAGCACACUGCUCAGUAACACGUCAAUAAUCUACCCUUAGGUCUGGGAUAACUUCGGGGAACUGAAGCUAACACCGGAUAGGAUAUUUGUACUGGGAUGUCUUUUAUCUUAAAAGCAAUGCCUAAGGAUGAGUUGGCGGCGGAUUAGGUAGUUGGUGGGGUAAAGGCUCACCAAGCCAAAGAUCCGUACGGGCCUUGGAAGAGGUAGCCCGGAGAAGGACACUGAGAUACUGGUCCUAGCCCUACGGGGUGCAGCAGGCGCGAAACCUUUACACUACACGCAAGUGUGAUAAGGGAAUCCUAAGUGCUUAUGUUUUAACAUAGGCUUUUGUCAAGAAUAAACAUCUUGGCGAAUAAGUGAUGGGCAAGACUGGUGCCAGCAGCCGCGGUAACCCCAGCGUCACGAGUGGCAACCACAAUUAUUUGGUCUAAAGCGUCCGUAUCCGGUCUAGUAAGUCUUUUGUGAAAUCGUUGCGCUCAACGUAACGGUGUGCAAAAGAUACUGCCAGGCUUGGAACUGGGAAGGGUCAGAGGUAUUCUAAGGGGAGCGGUAAAAUGUUAUAAUCCUUGGAAGACCACCAGUGGCGAAGGCGUCUGACUAGAACAGAUUCGACGGUGAGGGACGAAAGCUAGGGGAGCAAAACGGAUUAGAUACCCGAGUAGUCCUAGCUGUAAACGCUGUGAGCAAGGUGUUGCGCAUUCUUUGUGAAUGCGCAGUGUCGGAACGAAGGUAUUAAGCUCACCACCUGGGAAGUAUGGUCGCAAGGCUGAAACUUAAAGGAAUUGGCGGGGGAGCACUACAAGGGGUGCGGCGUGCGGUUUAAUUCAAUUCAACACGGAGAAUCUCACCAGGAGCGACGGCAGGAUGAAGGCCAGGUUAAAGGUCUUGCCAGACGAGCCGAGAGGUAGUGCAUGGCCGUCGUCAGCUCGUGCCGUAAGAUGUCCUGCUAAGCCAGGCAACGAGCGAGACCUGUAUCUACAAUUGCUAACGACUCUUUUAAGAGAAUCGAGCACAUUGUAGAGACUGCCUUGGAAACAAGGAGGAAGGCGCAGGCUACGAUAGGUCUGUAUGCUCCGAAUCUUCUGGGCUACACGCGCGCAACAAUGGUAAGGACAAUGAGAUGCAACUCCGAAAGGAGAAGCUAAUCCUCGAAACCUUAUCCUAGUUCAGAUUGAGGGUUGUAAUUCACCCUCAUGACGUUGGAAUCCCUAGUAAUCAGAUGUCAACAGCAUCUGGUGAAUAUGUCCCUGCUCCUUGCACACACCGCCCGUCAAACCAUCCGAGCAGGGUUUAGGUGAGACUUGGUUUUCAAUCAAGCCGAACCUAAGCUCAGUGAGGCGGGUUAAGUCGUCACAAGGUA
rnacentral:rRNA from 1 species